GACGAACGCUGGCGGCGUGCUUAACACAUGCAAGUCGAACGGUAAGGCCCUUCGGGUACACGAGUGGCGAACGGGUGAGUAACACGUGGGUGAUCUGCCUGCACUUCGGGAUAAGCCUGGGAAACUGGGUCUAAUACCGGAUAGGGCCAUGGACUCCACGGUUUGUGGUGGAAAGCUUUUGCGGUGUGGGAUGGGCCCGCGGCCUAUCAGCUUGUUGGUGGGGUAAUGGCCCUACCAAGGCGACGACGGGUAGCCGGCCUGAGAGGGUGUCCGGCCACACUGGGGACUGAGAUACGGCCCAGAC
rnacentral:rRNA from 1 species